rnacentral:rRNA from 1 species
GACGAACGCUGGCGGCGUGCUUAACACAUGCAAGUCAAGGGGGCCCAGCAAUGGGCAACCGGCGAACGGGUGCGUAACACGUGAGCAACCUACCGAACUGUGGGGGAUAGCCGGCCUAACGGCCGAGUAAUACCGCAUACGCUCUCAGGGAGGCAUUUCUUUGAGAGGAAACCUACGGGACAGAUCGAGGGGCCCGCGGCCUAUCAGCUAGUUGGCGAGGUAACGGCUCACCAAGGCAACGACGGGUAGCUGGUCUGAGAGGAUGGCCAGCCACAUUGGGACUGAGAUACGGCCCAGACUCCUACGGGAGGCAGCAGUGGGGAAUCUUGCGCAAUGGCCUAACGGCUGACGCAGCGACGCCGCGUGUGGGAUGAAGCUCUUCGGAGUGUAAACCACUGUUGCCCGGGACGAAUAGCUCGAUUAAUCGAGCCUGACGGUACCGGGUGAGGAAGCACCGGCUAACUCCGUGCCAGCAGCCGCCGUAAC